GUCUUCUUUGCCUCAAAGUGUCAGUUGGCUCCUCUGAGUCACAGCUGUACAAAUCACAGGACUAUUUUUUUAAUUGGCACCAGGCAUAUACAUUAUUCAUCUAUUUGGUUUCAUCUGAAGCAAAUCAAAUAAAGAAGCACUUUUAUUUUCCAAUGAAAUAUUCAAAGCUGCUUUUUCCCCACAAGAGACUAGGCAGAAAACUCCAUCCAUGAUCUAUCACAUCUCUGCACAGCCAGCAAAGAGAUCUUGUUAUAACAGAGAUGAGAUCCCCAUCACUUCUCUGCUUAAAACUCUGUAAGGCAUUCCUCUGAACCAUGGUCCAUAUGACUUGGGAUUCCUCCUCCUUGGACAUGCUAGACUCAUUAAGCCACAGGACCUUUGCAGUUACUGUUCACUCUCCCUGAACUGCUAUUCCCCAGAUUACUUAAGGUUGGUUUUUUUUUUCUUCAUUCUCUAGCUGUUAGUUUCUAUGAUACUAUCUCAUAGAAGCCUUUUGAUGAUCCUUUCUUUAUUCACUCGAGG
rnacentral:lncRNA from 1 species